UUACCAUCAUCACCACCACCACCAUCACAAUUACCACCAUCAUUGCCAUCAUUGUGGGAUGAGUCUCAACACUGUCCUCAUCAUGUGUGACCUGGACUGUGGGCCAGCCCCUCGGGCUCUGCUCUGCUAACCUACAUUCUUUGUCUCUGGUUCCUGAGGAGCUGGGAGUUGAGACCCAGUAAGGUGUUGUAGAGACGCUUGUGACUCCAAAUUCCACGAGAAAGAGGACCUCCCAUUUUCUUUCCUUGUUACAGUAUGUCAUCUUCCUGCACAAGUGGAUAAACCUUGACGUCUGUCUCCAUUUCCCAAAAGAGUUACCAAGGGGGCGCUUUCCGAACUACCUGGCUCAGACUUCUUUUCCAGCGUGGCCUGGAGCCAUGCUCACUUCAAACGCUUUCGCCAGCUCAGACUGCCAUAGCAGAAUGCCACAGGCUGCAUGCUUUCAACAAGAGGAGUUUGUUUCUCACACAGUUCUGGAGGCUGGAAUUCCAAGAUCAAGGGCCUAUGACCAUGUCUGAUGUUCAGGGAAUGAAGGAGUGAAGAAAGUAGGAAUGAAGGAAGGAAGGAAGUAGCUCCAGCAGUUGGUUCCCAGGCAAGAAGCUGGUGGGGUUCUGACUUCUACCCUGAUUCACACCCUUUCCUCCUGCCCUCAGAGUGGUCCUUCUCCUGCUCUUGUUCAUUCAUCCCCUUUAGCCCUUUUGUAUUCUCUUCUGUAGCUGAACCACAAACAACAAACACAUGAUAAAUAUUU